GUAAGAUUAUGUCCUGGCCAAACAGUUAACCUUUAAAAUGUUUUAACUUGUUGGAAUUUCUAAACACGAGUGCCUGGGUUCAAUCUUAAAAGAAAAUAAUGAGCUUUAGGAUUAUGUCCUUAUGACCCUUUUUGAGACCCUGGUUAAGUGAGAUAAAUCUUCAGUAGCAGCCUUUCCCCCUUCACUGGAGAUCAACGCAUGAUUAACUUGUAUGGAUCAUUUUUCCUGUCAUUUUUUCCAGUUAGAAAACUUUUGGUUAUUUUGAUGGGUAGCAUGAUUAUUUAGUUAAUUACAAACUUGAGGACUAAGUUCUGUCAAGUUGGAGGCAUGUGAAUAAUGGGAGGAUUGAUUAGGGAAUUUUGGCCUUCUCAUAUUUUGCAAUGGGCUUAGGUUUUAGAUGAGGUAUUUAAGUCUUUACACUGAUUUGGAAUAGUAAAAUGUUUAAAGCUUUGAGCAUGGUCAGCAAAAAAUAAAGUUGUGGCAAAAAGUUGAUGAAUCGAAGAAGGCCAUGUUGCAUGUUUUCUAGUUAGCAGCUAAAUAUUGAGAUUUAGGGUAAGUUCUGAGAGGUUCAAUUAGUGGAGGAAGAGGGAGAAAAAUGUGAUGAGUUUAGAUGCUGAUUUAGAGUGAUUAUAGAAGGAAAAUUGAAGGUUGCCUUGCCAGGGUGUUGUUACUUGCUAGUGUGUUGUAUCAAGCUAUCAGCUGAAUCUAGAGAAAGAGAAAGAAAUAAUAAACAAAAUGAGAAAUGAGAAAAAAGAAAAGAGACAUCAUACUUGGCAUGCAUGACUUGGAAAACAAACAAAAACUGCUUCAGCCUACUUGUCCAUGUGGUCUGGCUAAACCUGGGAGGAUCAGCAUUAUUUUGUUCUUGUGUAAAUUUUUAUGUUUCAUAAUGAUAAUUUCAACCCCCAUUAUUGUUAGUCUGAGCAUCUAUUACAUUGUAAAU
rnacentral:misc_RNA from 1 species